GACGAACGCUGGCGGCGUGCCUAAUACAUGCAAGUCGAACGCUGCUUAAGAAGAAACUUCGGUUUUUUCUUAAGCGGAGUGGCGGACGGGUGAGUAACACGUGGGGAACCUAUCCAUCAGCGGGGGAUAACACUUGGAAACAGGUGCUAAUACCGCAUACGGCUUUUUUUCACCUGAAAGAAAGCUCAAAGGCGCUUUACAGCGUCACUGAUGGCUGGUCCCGCGGUGCAUUAGCCAGUUGGUGAGGUAACGGCUCACCAAAGCAACGAUGCAUAGCCGACCUGAGAGGGUGAUCGGCCACACUGGGACUGAGACACGGCCCAGACUCCUACGGGAGGCAGCAGUAGGGAAUCUUCGGCAAUGGACGCAAGUCUGACCGAGCAACGCCGCGUGAGUGAAGAAGGUCUUCGGAUCGUAAAGCUCUGUUGUCAGCAAAGAACAGGAGAAAGAGGCAAUGCUUUUUCUAUGACGGUAGCUGACCAGAAAGCCACGGCUAACUACGUGCCAGCAGCCGCGGUAAUACGUAGGUGGCAAGCGUUGUCCGGAUUUAUUGGGCGUAAAGCGAGCGCAGGCGGUGAUUUAAGUCUGAUGUGAAAGCCCCCAGCUCAACUGGGGAGGGUCAUUGGAAACUGGAUCACUUGAGUGCAGAAGAGGAGAGUGGAAUUCCAUGUGUAGCGGUGAAAUGCGUAGAUAUAUGGAGGAACACCAGUGGCGAAGGCGGCUCUCUGGUCUGUAACUGACGCUGAGGCUCGAAAGCGUGGGUAGCAAACAGGAUUAGAUACCCUGGUAGUCCACGCCGUAAACGAUGAGUGCUAAGUGUUGGAGGGUUUCCGCCCUUCAGUGCUGCAGUUAACGCAUUAAGCACUCCGCCUGGGGAGUACGACCGCAAGGUUGAAACUCAAAGGAAUUGACGGGGGCCCGCACAAG
rnacentral:rRNA from 1 species